rnacentral:piRNA from 1 species
UGAGAAAGUCUUUUGUGUCCCAGAUGGAGC